CUUGAGCACGUAGGUGGGUUUGUAAGUCAGGUGUGAAAGCCUUCUGUUCAACGGGAGAAUUGCAUCUGAAACUACGAAUCUUGAGUGUAGGAGGGGAGAAUGGAACUUCUGGUGGAGCGGUGAAAUGCGUAGAUAUCAGAAGGAACGCCGGCGGCGAAAGCGAUUCUCUGGCCUAUUACUGACACUCAGUGUGCGAAAGCUAGGGGAGCAAACGGGAUUAGAUACCCCGGUAGUCCUAGCCGUAAACGAUGGGCACUAAGUAGUGGGAAUUACCGAUGUUCUCUCUGCCGUAGCUAACGCAUUAAGUGCCCCGCCUGGGGAGUACGGCCGCAAGGCUAAAACUCAAAAGAAUUGACGGGGGCUCGCACAAGCGGUGGAGCAUGUGGCUUAAUUCGAUGCAACGCGAAAAACCUUACCGGGGCUUGACAUGUUAGAAGUAGGAACCCGAAAGGGUAACGAACGGUAUCCAGUCCGUGACUAUCACAGGUGUUGCAUGGCUGUCGUCAGCUCGUGUCGUGAGACGUUGGGUUAAGUCCCCUAACGAGCGAAACCCUUGUUUUUAGUUACCAGCGGGUUAUGCCGGGUACUCUAGAAAGACUGCCGUCGUCAAGACGGAGGAAGGUGGGGAUGACGUCAAGUCAUCAUGGCCCUUAUGCCCCGGGCUGCACACGUGCUACAAUGGUCGGUACAAACGGAAGCGAAGCCGAGAGGUGAAGCGAAUCCAAGC
rnacentral:rRNA from 1 species